rnacentral:rRNA from 1 species
UGUGAGCUCGAUGAGUAGGGCGGGACACGUGGUAUCCUGUCUGAAUAUGGGGGGACCAUCCUCCAAGGCUAAAUACUCCUGACUGACCGAUAGUGAACCAGUACCGUGAGGGAAAGGCGAAAAGAACCCCGGCGAGGGGAGUGAAAAAGAACCUGAAACCGUGUACGUACAAGCAGUGGGAGCACGCUUAGGCGUGUGACUGCGUACCUUUUGUAUAAUGGGUCAGCGACUUAUAUUCUGUAGCAAGGUUAACCGAAUAGGGGAGCCGAAGGGAAACCGAGUCUUAACUGGGCGUUAAGUUGCAGGGUAUAGACCCGAAACCCGGUGAUCUAGCCAUGGGCAGGUUGAAGGUUGGGUAACACUAACUGGAGGACCGAACCGACUAAUGUUGAAAAAUUAGCGGAUGACUUGUGGCUGGGGGUGAAAGGCCAAUCAAACCGGGAGAUAGCUGGUUCUCCCCGAAAGCUAUUUAGGUAGCGCCUCGUGAAUUCAUCUCCGGGGGUAGAGCACUGUUUCGGCAAGGGGGUCAUCCCGACUUACCAACCCGAUGCAAACUGCGAAUACCGGAGAAUGUUAUCACGGGAGACACACGGCGGGUGCUAACGUCCGUCGUGAAGAGGGAAACAACCCAGACCGCCAGCUAAGGUCCCAAAGUCAUGGUUAAGUGGGAAACGAUGUGGGAAGGCCCAGACAGCCAGGAUGUUGGCUUAGAAGCAGCCAUCAUUUAAAGAAAGCGUAAUAGCUCACUGGUCGAGUCGGCCUGCGCGGAAGAUGUAACGGGGCUAAACCAUGCACCGAAGCUGCGGCAGCGACGCUUAUGCGUUGUUGGGUAGGGGAGCGUUCUGUAAGCCUGUGAAGGUGUGCUGUGAGGCAUGCUGGAGGUAUCAGAAGUGCGAAUGCUGACAUAAGUAACGAUAAAGCGGGUGAAAAGCCCGCUCGCCGGAAGACCAAGGGUUCCUGUCCAACGUUAAUCGGGGCAGGGUGAGUCGACCCCUAAGGCGAGGCCGAAAGGCGUAGUCGAUGGGAAACAGGUUAAUAUUCCUGUACUUGGUGUUACUGCGAAGGGGGGACGGAGAAGGCUAUGUUGGCCGGGCGACGGUUGUCCCGGUUUAAGCGUGUAGGCUGGUUUUCCAGGCAAAUCCGGAAAAUCAAGGCUGAGGCGUGAUGACGAGGCACUACGGUGCUGAAGCAACAAAUGCCCUGCUUCCAGGAAAAGCCUCUAAGCAUCAGGUAACAUCAAAUCGUACCCCAAACCGACACAGGUGGUCAGGUAGAGAAUACCAAGGCGCUUGAGAGAACUCGGGUGAAGGAACUAGGCAAAAUGGUGCCGUAACUUCGGGAGAAGGCACGCUGAUAUGUAGGUGAAGCGACUUGCUCGUGGAGCUGAAAUCAGUCGAAGAUACCAGCUGGCUGCAACUGUUUAUUAAAAACACAGCACUGUGCAAACACGAAAGUGGACGUAUACGGUGUGACGCCUGCCCGGUGCCGGAAGGUUAAUUGAUGGGGUCAGCGCAAGCGAAGCUCUUGAUCGAAGCCCCGGUAAACGGCGGCCGUAACUAUAACGGUCCUAAGGUAGCGAAAUUCCUUGUCGGGUAAGUUCCGACCUGCACGAAUGGCGUAAUGAUGGCCAGGCUGUCUCCACCCGAGACUCAGUGAAAUUGAACUCGCUGUGAAGAUGCAGUGUACCCGCGGCAAGACGGAAAGACCCCGUGAACCUUUACUAUAGCUUGACACUGAACAUUGAGCCUUGAUGUGUAGGAUAGGUGGGAGGCUUAGAAGUGUGGACGCCAGUCUGCAUGGAGCCGACCUUGAAAUACCACCCUUUAAUGUUUGAUGUUCUAACGUUGACCCGUAAUCCGGGUUGCGGACAGUGUCUGGUGGGUAGUUUGACUGGGGCGGUCUCCUCCUAAAGAGUAACGGAGGAGCACGAAGGUUGGCUAAUCCUGGUCGGACAUCAGGAGGUUAGUGCAAUGGCAUAAGCCAGCUUGACUGCGAGCGUGACGGCGCGAGCAGGUGCGAAAGCAGGUCAUAGUGAUCCGGUGGUUCUGAAUGGAAGGGCCAUCGCUCAACGGAUAAAAGGUACUCCGGGGAUAACAGGCUGAUACCGCCCAAGAGUUCAUAUCGACGGCGGUGUUUGGCACCUCGAUGUCGGCUCAUCACAUCCUGGGGCUGAAGUAGGUCCCAAGGGUAUGGCUGUUCGCCAUUUAAAGUGGUACGCGAGCUGGGUUUAGAACGUCGUGAGACAGUUCGGUCCCUAUCUGCCGUGGGCGCUGGAGAACUGAGGGGGGCUGCUCCUAGUACGAGAGGACCGGAGUGGACGCAUCACUGGUGUUCGGGUUGUCAUGCCAAUGGCACUGCCCGGUAGCUAAAUGCGGAAGAGAUAAGUGCUGAAAGCAUCUAAGCACGAAACUUGCCCCGAGAUGAGUUCUCCCUGACUCCUUGAGAGUCCUGAAGGAACGUUGAAGACGACGACGUUGAUAGGCCGGGUGUGUAAGCGCAGCGAUGCGUUGAGCUAACCGGUACUAAUGAACCGUGAGGCUUAACCUU